GACGAACGCUGGCGGCGUGCCUAACACAUGCAAGUUGAGCGACGAACCAGGGCUUGCCCUGGGGCAAAGCAGCGAACGGGUGAGUAACACGUGGGUAACCUACCCCGAUAACCGGGACAACCCGAGGAAACUUGGGCUAAUACCGGAUGUGCUCACUGGACUUCGGUUCAGUGCGUAAAGGAAGCUUCGGCCUCCGUAUCGGGAGGGGCCCGCGGCCCAUUAGUUUGUUGGUGAGGUAACGGCUCACCAAGACCGCGAUGGGUAGCUGGUCUGAGAGGACGAUCAGCCACACUGGGACUGAGACACGGCCCAGACUCCUACGGGAGGCAGCAGUGGGGAAUCUUGCGCAAUGCGCGAAAGCGUGACGCAGCAACGCCGCGUGGGGGAAGAAGGCCUUCGGGUUGUAAACCCCUUUCAGGAGGGACGAAGGUUCGGCGGUGAAUAGCCGUCCGGACUGACGGUACCUCCACAAGAAGCCCCGGCUAACUACGUG
rnacentral:rRNA from 1 species